AGUGAACGCUGGCGGCAGGCCUAACACAUGCAAGUCGAGCGGCAGCGCGGGGGCAACCCUGGCGGCGAGCGGCGGACGGGUGAGGAAUUCGUCGGAAUCUGCCUUUUUGUGGGGGAUAACGUAGGGAAACUUACGCUAAUACCGCAUACGUCCUACGGGAGAAAGUGGGGGACCGCAAGGCCUCACGCAGAAAGAUGAGCCGACGACCGAUUAGCUAGUUGGUGGGGUAAAGGCCCACCAAGGCGACGAUCGGUAGCUGGUCUGAGAGGAUGAUCAGCCACACUGGGACUGAGACACGGCCCAGACGCCUACGGGAGGCAGCAGUGGGGAAUAUUGGACAAUGGGCGCAAGCCUGAUCCAGCCAUGCCGCGUGUGUGAAGAAGGCCUUCGGGUUGUAAAGCACUUUUGUCCGGAAAGAAAUCCCUGGAGCUAAUACCUUCGGGGGAUGACGGUACCGGAAGAAUAAGCACCGGCUAACUUCGUG
rnacentral:rRNA from 1 species